GCGGAUCCGCGGCGCUGCAGAGUUUGAUCCUGGCUCAGAAACGAACGCUGGCGGCGUGCCUAACACAUGCAAGUCGGACGGACUUAUGUCUGAAGGGUAACUGGAGGGUGUAAGUUAGUGGCGCACGGGUGAGUAACACGUAGAUAACCUACCCUUAAGAGGGGGACAACACAGGGAAACUUGUGCUAAUACCGCAUAAGGCCACGGGUUGGGAUACUUGUGGUAAAAGGGUGGCGACACCGCUUAGGGAUGGGUCUGCGGCCUAUCAGGUAGUUGGUGGGGUAAUGGCCUACCAAGCCUAAGACGGGUAACCGGACUGAGAGGUUGGACGGUCACACUGGAACUGAGAUACCGGUCCAGACUCCUACGGGAGGCAGCAGUGGGGAAUUUUGCACAAUGGGCGGAAGCUGGAUGCAGCGACGCCGCGUGGAGGAAGAAGGCCUUCGGGUUGUAAACUCCUUUUAUAGGGGGCAAUGGUGAUGGUACCCUAUGAAUAAGCCACGGCUAACUCUGUGCCAGCAGCCGCGGUAAGACAGAGGUGGCGAGCGUUGUUCGGAAUUACUGGGCUUAAAGGGCGCGUAGGCGGUUAUACAAGUCUGUGGUGGGAUCUCAUUGCUUAACCCGGGGGCUGCC
rnacentral:rRNA from 1 species